CAGAAAAUAGCUUAAGUUAAAAGCAAUUUAUUUACAUUAAAAGGAUACUUUAUGUUUUUUUGA
rnacentral:tRNA from 1 species